UUAGUCGUAGAUCCACUGAUGAAUAAGGGGUGGGUAAGGACGGUGCCAGCCGCCGCGGUAAUACCGGCGCCUCAAGUGGUAGUCGAUUUUAUUGGGCCUAAAACGUCCGUAGCCUGUUUGGUACAUUCGUGGGUAAAUCAACCAGCUUAACUGAUUGAAUUCUGCGAGCACGGCCAGACUUGGGACCGGGAGAGGUGUGGGGUACGCUCAGGGUAGGGGUAAAAUCCUGUCAUCCUGAGCGGACCUCCUGUUGCGAAGGCGCCACACUAGAACGGAUCCGACGGUCAGGGACGAAGCCUAGGGGCACGAACCGGAUUAGAUACCCGGGUAGUCCUAGGUGUAAACGCUGUGGACUUGGUGUUGGGGAUUCUCCGAGGAUCCUCAGUGCCGAAGCGAAGGUGAUAAGUCCACUGCCUGGGGAGUACGGUCGCAAGGCUGAAACUUAAAGGAAUUGGCGGGGGAGCACCGCAACCUGGGGAUUGUGCGGUUUAAUUGGAUUCAACGCCGGAAAUC
rnacentral:rRNA from 1 species